CCUACGGGAGGCAGCAGUCGAGAAUCAUUCACAAUGGGGGAAACCCUGAUGGGGCGACGCCGCGUGGGGGAAUGAAGGUCGGCGGAUUGUAAACCCCUGUCAUGUGGGAGCAAAUUAAAAAGAUAGUACCACACGAGGAAGAGACGGCUAACGCUGUGCCAGCAGCCGCGGUAAUACAGAGGCCUCAAGCGUUGUUCGGAACCACUGGGCGUAAAGCGUGCGUAGGCUGUUUCGUAAGUCGUGUGUGAAAGGCGCGGGCUCAACCCGCGGACGGCACAUGAUACUGCGAGACUAGAGUAAUGGAGGGGGAACCGGAAUUCUCGGUGUAGCCGUGAAAUGCGUAGAUAUCGAGAGGAACACUCGUGGCGAAGGCGGGUUCCUGGACAUUAACUGACGCUGAGGCACGAAGGCCCGGGGAGCGAAAUGGAUUAGAUACCCUAGUAGUC
rnacentral:rRNA from 1 species